ACAGGAAUGAAGAAAUGCGCAGCAGUAUAUAAACGCAUCCGGACCGUGAACCAGUCUCUUCUCUUCUAGUUCUCCUACUUGGUCGUCAGUUAACGACGAUGUGUGAUGCAAAGAUGAAUGGGACUUGCAGAGAAGACCAUAGGCCGCAGGUGGCCUCCCUGCAACGUUGUAAUUUCCUACUGAUCUUGGAGACAAAAUGAAGUAGCUGACAUAAUGACUUGCAGGUUGCAUGCCUGCAACGAUGGGGCCCUGGUGUGUUGUCUGGACUCAAAAUGGUGUAUUGAAGCUCUUGGACGAGGAGACAAAAUGGAUAAGCUGACUAGCAGGGGCCAGGUGAACUCUGAAGUCUGAUGGCUGUUCCUUGGAGACAUGCUUCGAUAAGAGAAGAGGCAUGAUGCAGAUUGAGCUGGUGGCUGGAUCAGGAUGCUGAUGCAGGAUAUGCUUGGACUUUAAAGGUCCGAAAGCUUACCUGCUUGGAAGGACUUGGACCAAGUAGAGGUGUAAAGUUUUUGAAGAUUCCUGUUAAACAGGAUGCCGUUUUGCUUCAAAUAAAAAACGUUAAACAAAU